UACGUAGGGGGCAAGCGUUGUCCGGAUUUAUUGGGCGUAAAGAGCGUGUAGGCGGCUUUACAGGUCCGUUGUGAAAACUCGAGGCUCAACCUCGAGACGCCGGUGGAAACCGUAAGGCUAGAGUCCGGAAGAGGAGAGUGGAGUUCCUGGUGUAGCGGUGAAAUGCGCAGAUAUCAGGAGGAACACCCGUGGCGAAAGCGGCUCUCUGGGACGGUACUGACGCUGAGACGCGAAAGCGUGGGGAGCAAACAGG
rnacentral:rRNA from 1 species